UUGGGCCGAUUUUUAUAGUGAUGGGCUUCGAUUUUUAAAUAGAUUUGGGCUGCGAUUUUUAAAAAGCUUGGGCCGAUUUUUAAUUUUAUUUAGCUGGGCCCGAUUUAUUUUAUUCAGUCUGGGCCAUUCAUAUUUUAUUGAGUUGGGCCUCAUCUUUUAAAUUUAUAUGGGCUAUUAUUUAUUUAAGCAUGAGCUCUAUUUCAUCUAUUUAAAUGGCUUCCCUAUUUUAUUUAAUUAGACUAUUAAUUAGUUUGAUUAAUUAUUUUUAAAGACUUUGGAUUGCCUUCAAUUAAUUAAAUUGGGC
rnacentral:lncRNA from 1 species